GUCUGGGAAGUGCGGGGAUGCGUCUGAAAGUGCCGGGAUGCGUCUGGAAGUGCCAGGAUGCGUCUGGGAAGUGCCAGGAUGCGUCUGGGAAGUGACGGGAUGCGUCUGGAAGUGCCGGGAUGCGUCUGGGAAGUGUCGGGAUGCGUCUGGAAGUGCACGGGAUGCGUCUGAAAGUGGCAGUCAUCUCCGGCGAGUUGCAGACGCCUCCGGCUCCGUCUCCGGCGUGUUGCAGACGCCUCCGGCUCCGUCUCCGGCGAGUUGCAGACGCCUCCAACUUCGUCUCCGACACCUGCAACUGGUUAAAUAUCCAGUUUGUUGCAAGUUAUUAUAAAAAUGGCUGAAAAUAAGGCGGAGAUGGAGGGUGGCCGGUCGACCGACUACGACGGUGGCACGACGGAUCUCCACUCCAAAAUCCCAAUUGCCGCCAUGGUUGCCGGAAAAACGAUCUGAAAUCGAGCCUCCUAGUUGCAGGUGUCGGAGACGAAGCCGGAGGCGUCUGCAACUCGCCGGAGACGGAGACGGAGCCGGAGGCGUCUGCAACACGCCGGAGACGGAGCCGGAGGCAUCUGCAACUCGCCGGAGAUGACUGCAACUUUCAGACGCAUCCCGGCACCUCCCAGACGCAUCCCGGCACCUCCCAGAC
rnacentral:lncRNA from 1 species